UACGUAGGGUCCGAGCGUUGUCCGGAAUUAUUGGGCGUAAGGAGCUCGCAGGCGGUUUGUCGCGUCUGCUGUGAAAUCCCGAGGCUCAACCUCGGGUAUGCAGUGGGUACGGGCAGACUGGAGUGCGGUAGGGGAGAAUGGAAUUCCUGGUGUAGCGGUGGAAUGCGCAGAUAUCAGGAGGAACACCGAUGGCGAAGGCAGUUCUCUGGGCCGUAACUGACGCUGAGGAGCGAAAGCGUGGGGAGCGAACAGG
rnacentral:rRNA from 1 species